UUCCUCUCAAACUCCAAAGACGUACAGGUUUGUAGAUUAAUUGGCUUGGUAUCAUUGUAAAUUGUCCCAAGUGUGUGUAGGAUAGCGUAAGUGUGUGGUGAUAGCUGGUCAGAGCAGACUCUGUAGACCAAAGUGCCUGUUUCUGU